CGGGGAGGUAGUGACGAAAAAUAACGAUACGGGACUCAUCCGAGGCCCCGUAAUCGGAAUGAGCACAUUUUAAAUCCUUUAACGAGGACCAAUUGGAGGGCAAGUCUGGUGCCAGCAGCCGCGGUAAUUCCAGCUCCAAUAGCGUAUAUUAAAGUUGUUGCGGUUAAAAAGCUCGUAGUUGAAUCUGUGUAUCACAGUGUCAGUUCACCGCUCGCGGUGUUUAACUGGCAUUUAUGUGGUACGUCCUACCGGCGGAUUUAGCUCUUCACGGGGCGGUCCAACCAAUAUCCCAUCGCGGUGCUCUUGACUGAGUGUCGAGGUGGGCCGGUACGUUUACUUUGAACAAAUUAGAGUGCUUAAAGCAGGCUAUCUUCGCCUGAAUAUUGUGUGCAUGGAAUAAUGAAAUAGGACCUCGGUUCUAUUUUGUUGGUUUUCGGAACUCUGAGGUAAUGAUUAAUAGGGACAGAUGGGGGCAUUCGUAUUGCGACGUUAGAGGUGAAAUUCUUGGAUCGUCGCAAGACGGACAGAAGCGAAAGCAUUUGCCAAAAAUGUUUUCAUUAAUCAAGAACGAAAGUUAGAGGUUCGAAGGCGAUCAGAUACCGCCCUAGUUCUAACCAUAAACGAUGCCAGCCAGCAAUCCGUCGAAGUUCCUCCGAUGACUCGACGGGCAGCUUCCGGGAAACCAAAGCUUUUGGGUUCCGGGGGAAGUAUGGUUGCAAAGCUGAAACUUAAAGGAAUUGACGGAAGGGCACCACCAGGAGUGGAGCCUGCGGCUUAAUUUGACUC
rnacentral:rRNA from 1 species